CCCUAAUUUACAAAAAAAAGUGCCGUUAUUUGAAAGGAGAAAAGAAUCGAAGGAAAAAUAAAAUUCGAGUUUUGGAAAUAAAUUCUUUUUUAAUACAUCCAUUUCAGCUACAAAUAAAAUGCGGAAAUCUUGUAAAAUGAAUAAAUCUGUAAAUUCUCGUAUGGAUUAUGCUCGCGAAAAUAAUCAAUUUGCAGCAUUUUCUCCAAAGGAUGAGAACAACAAUGACAUACAGGUCUAUGGUCCACCUGCUAGAGAACGCAAUGUCAGUUCACAGCCUGCAAUUAUGGCUGAACUGGAAGAAAGACCAAUAGCUUCGGAUGGAUGUAUUUGCAAUAGAAAAUCACAAAUUAUCGAAUGUAAAAAAUGUCGAAUGCUUUGCUACGGACGAGUAUCGGAAACAUGUCCUCGGCAUCCCAAUGUUUCGUAUUUGAUGGACUUGUAUAAUUGCCCAUCUUGCUAUUGUUCUCGUGUAUUUUUAACAGCAAAAAAAUAAUUUAAUUUCAUAUCUUUACGAUUUUUGGAUUUCAUGACGUAGAACGUCUCAUUUUUCAUCAUCAAUAUUUGGAUAUCAUAUUCUAGUGUGUCAUUUGACAUCUAUAUUAAAAUAUAGAUCGCAUAAUAUUUCUCAUAUAUAGUAAUAUUUAAAAAUUCAUAGUACUUCUAUUGUUGGUAUUUAGAAACAUUUAAUGAAUUUCUCAGUUAUUCAGAUCUGAAUAAAAUAUAAUUGUUAUAAGAA